ACGCACACACACACACACGCACACACACACACACAAACACACACACACACACACACACACACACACACACACACUAGUACAGAAUGAAUGGCAAAUUGUGUAAAUAAUAGAUAAAUAAAUGUGUACCACAAGGCCUUGAAGGAAAGAUAGAAAGAAGGAAAGAAAUGAAAGCACUUGUGAAGGUUACAGAUGUGUGAAGCAGCCGAGGAGAAUCUUAACACGCUAAGAACACGUGUUUAUUGUAAACUAACAUGUCUCUACACUUACACUGUCAGAUGCAGAGUGAUCCUGUAGGUAGGUCCUACUUACGCUUCACCGUUCUGCUGUUCAUGAACAGAAUCUGACGUUAAGCUCCUCCAGAAGCUCGUCCGUGCAUGGAUAACGUUUCCAUCGUGUCUCUUUUUUUUUUUUUUGUAACGAUAUUGUCAAAUAAAUAAUCUGAAUAAGUA